GUGGUUGUAGCUCAGUUGGUUAGAGCGCCUCUCUGUGGAAGAGGAGGUCGCGGGUUCGAGACCCGUCAACCACCCCA
rnacentral:tRNA from 1 species